rnacentral:tRNA from 1 species
AUUUAUUUAUAUAGUUUAAACAAAACAUUACAUUUUCAUUGUAAAAAUAAAAUAAAUAAUUUUUAUAAAUW